UACGUAGGGUGCGAGCGUUAAUCGGAAUUACUGGGCGUAAAGCGUGCGCAGGCGGUUUUGUAAGCCAGAUGUGAAAUCCCCGGGCUUAACCUGGGAAUGGCAUUUGGGACUGCAAGGCUGGAGUGCGGCAGAGGAGACUGGAAUUCCUGGUGUAGCAGUGAAAUGCGUAGAUAUCAGGAGGAACACCGAUGGCGAAGGCAGGUCUCUGGGCUGACACUGACGCUGAGGAGCGAAAGCGUGGGGAGCGAACAGG
rnacentral:rRNA from 1 species